rnacentral:rRNA from 1 species
AUUGAACGCUGGCGGCAGGCCUAACACAUGCAAGUCGAGCGAGCCGCGGGCGUGUGAGUAAUGUAUGGGGAGUGCCUGAUAGAGGGGGAUAACUACUGGAAACGGUGGCUAAUACCGCAUACUAUCGGAUAAUCCAUAUGGGAAGAGCUAGUAGGUGGGGUAAAGGCUCACCUAGGCGCCGAUCUUUAGCUGGGCUGAGAGGAUGAUCAGCCACACUGGGACUGAGACACGGGCCAGACUCCUACGGAGGCAGCAGUGGGGAAUAUUGCACAAUGGGCGCAAUCCUGAUGCAGCCAUGCCGCGUGUAUGAAGAAGGCAUUAGGGUUGUAAAGUACUUUCAGCAGGGAGGCGUUACCCGCAGAAUAAGCACCGGCUAACUCCGUGCCAGCAGCCGCGGUAAUUC